UGAUUGGACGGUAGGCUCUGCUCUGCUACUAGCUCCAGCUGGGCGCCAAAUGUGAGAAUUAAAGUAUUAAUUGUCCGUUGGCAUCGACACUUAUCUCCGUG